UGAUGUGAAACACUCAGAUUUUACCUCAUAUCAACAACUCAUAAAAUCCCUCUGAUUUUCCACUUUCCUCUCUAUUAUUUGCAAAAAUGGAUCCAAAAAUCUCUCAGAUUUCCAGCCUUUCUCUUACAUUUCUAUGUUAUUAUCAAAUGUCAAUUAAAAAUCCUUUCAUGUUUGGGGCUGUUCCCCAUGUUUCUAAAUCCCAGCAACUUCUCCUUCCUUGGAGGGAACCUGUUGCCCUGAGUCAUUCUCCAUUUUGGCGGUUGCAGGGGGUUAAAUUUCCCAGUGAUCAUAUUUCCCCUCUUCUUUGAGAAUCAUUUCUUCCCCCUUUAGCGCUGUUAAAAUGUUUGCUGAUUAAAGCGAUCAGCCACAUAUUUAAUACACAUCAAAGCCAGAGGCCUCCCCCUGUUUGGGGAUCAGUGGUUCCCAGCUGGUAACAGGAGAGUUGGCUGGACCCUUUUCUUUUCUCCAGCCGGCACGGAUGAGGAGGUCACUCUGAGUAUAGCAUGGGUCCAGAAGUAUCCCAAGCCCCAUGACAAAUGGUCUCUGUGAAGGGUUGAUUCCCGCAGUGCUAAGAUGUAGCCACCUCUGGGGUGGAUCCAUGGUGGCCAUUAUUUGCUAGUGACAGGGCAUAGAAAUUUCUUACCUAUUUUGGCCCUCCAGGCCUUCCAUUCUCCUGUUCAAGAAGCAUCCCCCAGGGCUCCCUCUGCCUGUGUGACUGGCCAGCAGGGGGUGGUGAUAACUUUCUAUCCACUUCUCAGACACUGUGAGGCUGCAGAAUGACGUCCAUGUUUCACUCCAGUUCAUCCCGUCCUCUCAUUGGACAGGGGAGAGAAAUGGCUGCAGAGGAGCCAGUCCAGGGGCCGGUGGCCUUCGAGGAGGUGGCUGUGUAUUUCACCA